GUGGAUCUUGCUGAGAUCUGGCCAUGGAGGCCGUAGAUCGCCUGGUGGAUGCCUUUCGAGGGGGCAUCAGUUUGGGAUCUGGUCGGAGAAGAAGAAGAAGAUGUCGAAGCAGAUGAUUGGAGACAGUCCCAUUGAGUACUCCUUUAAGAACAAGGGUCUUGCGAAGACACAGGCCCUUUCUCUAGUGCCAAUUCUGUUGGUGCAGAAUUUUAUCGAUGCCGGAGAAGCUGGAGUCGAGG
rnacentral:lncRNA from 1 species